rnacentral:rRNA from 1 species
AUGUCUGCCGUCACACCAUGCUUCGCCGCGAGGUCCAGCAUCUCCUGGGUGUCCCUCAUGCCGCCGAUGAAGCUCCCGGCCAGGGUCUUAUGGGAGGACUUACUGGCAACCAGAGCAAAGGGAGGGACCUCGAUAGGCUUCUCUGGGAGGCCGACCAUGACCAUCUUGCCGUUGGGCUUGAGUAGCCCGAAGAGAGGGGCCAUGGGGAUGUUUGCAGACACCGUGUUUAUGAUGCCAUCCAUGGUGCUCAUCGCAGCCUGCAAACUGCUGACAACGAAGCCGUCGGCGCCUAGCCUCUCGAGGGCCUCCUGCUUCUUCCCCGGCGAUGAGCUGAUCACCGUCACCUUCAUCCCGAAGGCCUUGCCGAACUUGACGGCGACGUGA